rnacentral:lncRNA from 1 species
GUAUACAAGAAACUCUGGUCAGAUAGACAAGAAACCAGUAAGAGCAACACCUGGCCAGGUGUGGUGGCUCACAUCUUUAAUUCCAGCACUUUGGGAGGCUGAGGUGGGUGGAUCACUUGAGGCCAGGAGUUUGAGACUAACCUGGCCAACAUGGCAAAUCCCCUGUCUCUACUAAAAAUAUAAAACUUAGCCAGGCGUGGUGGCAGGCGCCUGUAAUCCCAACUACUUGGGAGUGGUGGCUCAUACCUGAAAUCCUAACAUUUUGGGAUUUCAUCUGCCAUGGCUGAGGUGGGCAGAUUGCCUGAGCUCAGGAGUUCGAGUAACUGAUCUUUUUAAUGCCCUAUGGCAAUGGUUUUAAACUUUGUUCUGUUGAAUCAGGGUAACUGCUUGGGGAAGGGAAGUAGAGGGCUAAGCGAAUGUGGGUCUCCUUCCAAGCCCUUUGCCCGGCAACCCACAAAUGGGAGAAUAUAUUGAUAAUAUAUUGAUAAAUCAUCUAUCUGAUAAAGGAUUGAUAUCCAGAAUACAAAGAGAACAGCUAAAACUCAACAACAACAACAAAACAAUCUGCUUAAAAAAAUGGACAAAAGACUUGAAUAGACAUUUCUCCAAAGACGGUAUACAAAUGGCCAAGAAGCACAUGAAAAGAUGUUCAACAUCAUUAAUCAUU